rnacentral:rRNA from 1 species
GAUGAACGCUGGCGGCGUGCCUAAUACAUGCAAGUCGAGCGAAUGGAUUAAGAGCUUGCUCUUAUGAAGUUAGCGGCGGACGGGUGAGUAACACGUGGGUAACCUGCCCAUAAGACUGGGAUAACUCCGGGAAACCGGGGCUAAUACCGGAUAACAUUUUGAACCGCAUGGUUCGAAAUUGAAAGGCGGCUUCGGCUGUCACUUAUGGAUGGACCCGCGUCGCAUUAGCUAGUUGGUGAGGUAACGGCUCACCAAGGCAACGAUGCGUAGCCGACCUGGGAGGGUGAUCGGCCACAAUGGGAAUGAGACACGGCCCAGACUCCUACGGGAGGCAGCAGUAGGGAAUCUUCCGCAAGGGACGAAAGUCUGACGGAGCAACGCCGCGUGAGUGAUGAAGGCUUUCGGGUCGUAAAACUCUGUUGUUAGGGAAGAACAAGUGCUAGUUGAAUAAGCUGGCACCUUGACGGUACCUAACCAGAAAGCCACGGCUAACUACGUGCCAGCAGCCGCGGUAA